ACUGGAAAGCCCUUGAUACUUUUCAGAGUUAUCGGUUAGAAAAAAAAAAGGACCCAAUGAGUAUGUAACUAAAGAGUGGGAAAAAUGAUAGUAGUAUUUCUAAGACCUUACAUUGCUUGCUGCAGUAACUGCCAGGUUGUUAUUUCUAGCCCACACUCUUGGCACCAUUGAUUAUGGAACAUAAUUUUACAUUUUAAUUUCAUGAUGUAGGUGGAAGAAGUGCAUUCUUGCCCAUUUCUGUUUGGGGUUAGUGAAUAAAGACAUAUUUUUCAUGCUCUAUAGCUGUAUUGCCUUCACAUUGAGCACAAGAAAUCAAAUCAUCAGUUUAGUGCCAACACACCAGCUCUUGCUAUUUCAGCCCUUUACAAAUCUCUUUCAAUGAUCAGUAUGUCUACAUCCAUGUAUUCAGUUCUUCAGGCUCUAAAACAUACAUACUCAUAUGGUGUGUUAUUCCUCCUUAGGAGGGUAAUAGCUUUCUUUGUCCACCAAAUUAUGUGUGUUUUUAAGAGGUUUCUUAAGUGAAAGAAAAAAGCAUACACCAUUCAGCCAUAACUUUAAAACCACCUGCCAAAUAUUGUGUAGGUCCCCCUUGUGUCACCAAAACCUGACCCGUAAAGGCAUGGACUCCACAAGACCUCUGUAGGUGUGCUGUGGUUUCUGGCACCAAGACGUUAGCAGCAGAUCCUUAGAGUCCUCUAAGUUGUGAGGUGGGGCCUUCAUGUAUCCGACUGGUCUGUCCAGAACAUCCCACAUUAUGUGUGCAGUAUCCUGCUGGAAGAGGCCAUUGCCAUUAGGGAAUACUGUUGCCAUUAAGGAGUGCAACAGUGUUUAGGUAGGUGGUACAGUACGUGUCAAAGUAACAUAACCAUGAAUGCCACGUCCCAAGGUUUCCCAGCAGAACAUUGUCCAGAGCAUCACACUGCCUCUGCCAGCUUGCCUUCUUCCCAUAGUGCAGGGGUUCCCAAACUUUUCAGGGCAAGGCCCACCAAAUGGCAUUCAAAUUUGACCGAGGCCUCCCUUUUGCAAGAUGUCUUUAAAACACAUGAAAAAUACAGACUUCUGAAUAUAUCCCCCUUUUUUUUUUAAUUAAUAAUUACAUCUUACAUCUUUACAUUACAUUACAUUAGGAAUUGAUUUUGUGUGUGUGUGUGUGUGUGUGUGUGUGUGUGUGUGUGUGUGUGUGGUUGUCAGAGUGAGAAAGAGAAAACAUACAUUUAUUUUUUUUCACACUAAAUUGUUGAGGCCCCCUGGCGGCCCCCACUUUGAAAACCGCUGCCAUAGUGCAUCCUGGUGCCAUCUCUUCCCCAGGUAAGCGAUGCACACGCACCCAGCCGUUCCACAUGAUGUAAAAGAAAUUCUUAUACCAGGAAAUACUGGAUAAAUAUGACUAUAUUUAAGAUAUUUUCACUUGCUAUGUUCUUUUCUUGCAGUCUAUGUGCAGUCGGUUUUGCUCUUUCUGUUUCUGAUUCUGUCCCAAGGCCAGAGUGUGAUGCAUGACAGCUAGGAAUGAGAGCGUGAGGAGAAGGAGGAAAGCCACAUUUCUUCAUCAGUGAUCUGCUCUGACAGUCUCUCAAGGCUUGCACUAAUGAAGUCACAUUUGUCUCAGACAGGCCCAGAUUCCAUUAGCCCAUGUGUAAUUGUGUUAACUCUCGACACUGCCUUAAAUGGAGUAUGGUUGUUUGUGUGUGUGUGUGUGUGUGUGUGUGUGUGUGUGUGUGUGUGUGUUUUAGAUAUAAGGAUAUGGAAUGAUUUGUGUCAGUAAUUUGUGUGCUCACUUCACAUACAUUUAUCAGUGCUCAGUUGACCUUUCAGGGUGAGGGUUGUACUGAUCACAUUAUAGGAGACAGAAUGGACGUGCAGUAAUUGGCUUUAUUUUGGUGCCAACAACCAUUAAAAACUUCUGAUGGAUUUGAACUACAUCACUAGAAAUGCCUUUAAGAGAGAGUAUGGGCUGUGACUAAUCUUGGUAUAUUCAAAAUUAUAAGAUAUCUCUCAGUACUGUAGUGUCUACUAAUUGAUGGUAGUCACCACACAGUUUGAGAUGAGUGUUACUGGAGCAAACAAAAUGAGAGGGUCACGGUGGAGCCUGGAUCCUACCCCAGUGAACAGGCAGCGGACACCCUGAAUGGGGUGCCAACCCAACUCAUCACAGGGCACAAUGGCACACACAUUCACACACUAUGGAAAUGCCAAUCAGCUUACAUGCCUUUGGACUGGAGUACUUGGAGGAGACCCCCAAGGCAUGUGGAGGGCAUGCAUGGAAGCCCCAUGGACACAGGGUGGAGGUGGGAUUCAAGCCCCCAACCCUGGAGGUGUGAGGGAAACAUGCUAACUACUAAGCCAUGGUGCC